GGUGGCUCAGUGGUAGAGCACUUGCCUUGCAUGCAUGAGGCCCUGGGUUCUAUUCCUUAGCACCA
rnacentral:tRNA from 1 species